AAGCCCCCAUCCACUACACCAUCAUGGACUCCUUCGCCCACCACCUCUACGCCGUUGUAUCGCCGGGUCCCGUAGUUUAGUCCGAUAAGGUAAAACCAAAGACAAUAAAAAGCUUAAACGCAGUACAUGCAAAAUAUGAAAUAUAAAAGCACUACAUGGUAUAAAUAAUACCAGAACAACAACCCAUACUUCCGCCGUGCGACACAAUGUCUAACGUUCCAAUGGUCCUUUGCUUCCAAAAGGCAGGUGGUCAUGCCAAUCCCUUUUUGAUUACAGUGGCAUCGGAUUGACAAGUCAAUCACACAUGCUUCCAGCCCCAAUGUAGCAGCACCAAUCAGCUUACGCGAAACAUAAUUGAUGCCACACCCUCCACCUGCAUCCAGUGACCAUGAUUGGUCAAUGCAGUUUGGCACUUAUGUUAAAUAGACGCAGCUGGUGUGUUCCAGUAUCUCGCUGGCCUCCUUUGGAGGCUGCCUCUAGCCUAACCCAGCUGAGAGGUUUGCUGCGGCCUGUGAUUCCGGCUCCUGUCCCUGUCAUUGCUGGGUUUUUUUUUGGCCACCAGUCGUUAGCUUCAGCGAAGGACCGCCGCAACCCACUAGAUGAACAGUAGAACGCUUUUCUGGACCAGCCCCACUUGAUGAAGUUCUUCUGGUCUAACGGCACUCUUGUCUGGCUGAUUCAUGACGUGUAGCAGUGUGGUCGUGGGGCUGAGAACCAGUUGGUGGUUCGAAACGGCGGAGUCGUGCAGAUACCAGACUGGCCUGGAUGGAUGUAUUUGUACCUUCACCCCAUUCCGUAUCAAUCACUUGCUUAUUGUUAUUGUUUGCCGCUUUAAUGGCCUGAUUGUUAAACUGCAUUGACCUGAAUAGGCAGCUUAAUGCCCUGAAGAUGAGCCUUUACAUAUUUAACUCGAGUGUCAGUAGGCUACAAUAAUCAAUGUUUCUGCAACCUCUGAUUUACCACACAGGCAGCCCCAUGGUGCUUUUUCCUUUUGACAGUUUAGUUUAUGUUUUAUCAAAAUAUCUUUCUAAUCAUCCAGUGAACAUGUUUGCUAUGAACUGACUUCAAUCUUCAUAUCCAUCCGCUAGAGAGCAUGAGCACCAGCAAAGUUGCUAUCACAAGUCUGCCUGACCUAACACCUGUUACUUCAUGAAUAAACUCUUUCAAUGCACAAAGUGUUUGUCUUUAUGCUGGUUUUGCUUGAC